CUCGGCGAAGGGCUAUAAUUAGAUUAGCAGCCUGCUCAGCAGCGGUGCCAGCCUGCGAGCCUCAGCGAGCAUGUGCUGGAUUCUGCAUGUGCCUCCCGCUUAUUGGCGGCCGGGGUUGCUGCCUGCCGGUUUGAUAGGUUUCCCCAGUAAUCUUUAUGCUGCAUUACAGACAUAGAUACAGAGGUACUGCGUGCAUACAACGGGAGAGGUGCUCAGCUUGUAGCGUAAAAGAAAGCCCACAGAUGAAAGGCACUGGUCUUUGUUGCAAAGCAUCAAUACUUAAGGACUGCUAGCUGGGAGCAGAGAGGUGAUACCACCACCCACUGGAGCUGAAAUGAUGAACACGCAGCUAUUCAGCUAUUCUGCCUCCAGAAAGAGCUGUGUUGAUCUAUGCAAGCAUCACAAGAAAACGUGACAGUUGUGAAACUAGAACUGAAUCCUCUGGAGCAUUACAUUCCCCUGUUUGGAGUGUGGACAAGAGUUUGGCAUUCUACUUUCACAGAUCGCUGCCGCUCGCUCGUGGAGCGCAGAGGGGACGGCGAGACUCCCACAUCUUUCAGCGAGAAGAAAGGAGCCAGCGGAGCAGACUAAUACGGACUUGUGUCGGGUGCCCUUGCCCUACAAAGGCUGCCUUUAAAAGAGAAACGCAGUGCUAUUUAAUGAGCUGUGAGAUGAGGCACUGCUGCUAACGCUCAGAUCCCAGGAUUCAUCGGCUAUUCAUUGUGCUUAAUGUACAUGUUUCUGCACCGUGCAUUUAGGAGAUCCCAGAGAAGAAUCCAAAACGGCUG
rnacentral:lncRNA from 1 species